UUGGUGAACCAGCGGAGGGAUCAUUAC
rnacentral:rRNA from 2 species